rnacentral:rRNA from 1 species
UACGGGGGGGGGUAAGUGUUGUUCGGAAUUACUGGGCGUAAAGGGCUCGUAGGCGGCCAACUAAGUCAGACGUGAAAUCCCUCAGCUUAACUGGGGAACUGCGUCUGAUACUGGAUGGCUUGGAUUCGGGAGAGGAAUGCGGAAUUCCAGGUGUAGCGGUGAAAUGCGUAGAUAUCUGGAGGAACACCGGUGGCGAAGGCGGCAUUCUGGACCGACAUUGACGCUGAGGAGCGAAAGCGUGGGGAGCGAACAGG